AGAAACGAAACGAGGGGGCAAAAUGCACGACUUUCACUAAGAAUCAUGGCUAGUCGAUCUGCGUGCUGAACCCUCCAUACUGCCACAUCAAAACACUAGGAAUACCUAAGCUUCAGAGUCCAAUGAGGUCAAGACAAAUGUUGCAUCUGUACUGACCCAAUGACUAGGUUUAAUAGUUGACAGUUUGCUUACUUUGUUAAAAGGCGAGCGUUAUCUUGAUAGUAUCAGGUUGAAGUGAGUUUAUAAAGCCUUGAAAGGGGGUGGAGAACAAACCCUACAGGAACUCAGAAGAGAAUAAAUUCUACACGAAAUGUUGGCCUCCAAAUUCUUUUGAAAGUCGAUUGUUCUUCGUAUCGAAAAUCGUGAAGCGAAAACAGCCAGCGGAAAGGGAACUGUCAUAGGGAUUGCGUUACUCCACCAAGUGUCGUGCGUUUGGUGGUCAAGCAUCUAUGUUCAUGUGCGCAUAGAAUAAAGUGUGCGUAUGCUCUUGAUGGAUGAGAAGACUAUGGAGUCAUUGGAGGACUAUGGGAUACCUGUGAUAAAAUUAAUUACAUGAAAUAAAAUAUAAAAUAAAAUGAAUACAAAAAGAAAUAGAUAUAAAAUAGAUAAGAUAUUAAUAUUAAAAGAGGAACUACUUUUAAAAAUGCAUGCAGAUGAACUUAAAUAUGUCUUUNGCUAACCGUUAAGCUGUACUACCAUUACAAUUUUAAGGAAUUGCGGGCUCUAGACUCUCCAGGGAUAACAUUUGUGGAAAGGGUAUAGAUCCAGGUUACAAAUUUGUAAACUGUGGGUCCUGGAUUCAAAAGUUCCGAGAUCCAGUACCACGUAUUCCUAUUUAUAAACUUUAGAACUUUUCUAGGAUAAAAACAUGGUGCGUUGUGGUCUAUCCCGUCGGUAAAAACAACUCGUUUUCAUCGUGCCUUAUCUGGUGCAUUACUGUACUCAAGCUAGACCACAAUGCAUCAUGUUUAACGAACUUUUAAAAGGCCUAUGGCAUAACAAAAGCGCAAAGUAAAAAAGUCCCCUUUUUACGUCCAGUUAAAAGUAUGUCACGUGAUUGGUAUCGCUCACUUUCUGAAGAGCGCGCGUGCAAAGGUAUCUGGGACGUUACGUAGAAAGCGUCCCAAACUGAUAAAAAUAACCAGAAGCCUCUGCGCGCUAAAAUCCUUCCCAGCCCUUUUCUCGACCCUUCCCUAACAUAAUCUGCGCACAGCGCGUGAAACCCUGAAGGAGACCAAAUAUAUUUUUUACAAAAACAAAAAAAAAAACAAACAAUAUUUUGAAUUCUCAACAGCAGCAGUAAGGGGGACUCGCGGAGGGGGUACCGGGAGCCCGGGGUAAUACCCGCGCCAAGUAGCAUAGGGCUCCAGCGGGAAUGACCCGUGUUCCGUUAUAUGUUACGCGGUGAUUUCCUUACUGCUGCUGUGUUAACAUAUUUGUUUUAUAUACGAUGCACGAAUGUAAAGAGUUUAUCUACGACUUCUGUAUAAAGUGCCUGAAACCUAAGUUUAAACCCACUAAACCAAAUAAGUAUAUUUGUUGUGGUAAGAAAAUGCAAAUAGAAGAUGACACGUCAGCACAGUGUUACGAGUGUGGUAAGAAUGUUCGUAAUGCCGUACCAAAUGCUACCAAAGAGCAAUAUUACGCCAAUGGAGGCCGUAAGAAGACCCCAUACAAGAGGAUCAAAUACUUUAGGGACUGGAUGAGUCAUAUCCAAGGUCUUCGACCGGUAUAUUUAGACAACGAAGUAAAGGAGAAAAUCAUAGACCACUUAGAAGAGCCAACCCCACAAAGUCUACGGAAGACAUUGAAAAAAUUAAAGCUAGGGAAAUAUUACNAAGCUA
rnacentral:misc_RNA from 1 species